rnacentral:ncRNA from 1 species
UAUCUUUGCAUCCGAAUUACAUAAUAAUCAUUUAAAAACAAUAUUGGAAUG